rnacentral:rRNA from 1 species
AGUGAACGCUGGCGGCAGGCCUAACACAUGCAAGUCGAGCGGCAGCGCGUCCGACCACCCUCGGGUGGUUGGAUGGCGGCGAGCGGCGGACGGGUGAGGAAUGCAUCGGAAUCUGCCUCGUUGUGGGGGAUAACGUAGGGAAACUUACGCUAAUACCGCAUACGACCUACGGGUGAAAGUGGGGGACCUUCGGGCCUCACGCGAUGAGAUGAGCCGAUGCCGGAUUAGCUAGUUGGCGGGGUAAAGGCCCACCAAGGCGACGAUCCGUAGCUGGUCUGAGAGGAUGAUCAGCCACACUGGAACUGAGACACGGUCCAGACUCCUACGGGAGGCAGCAGUGGGGAAUAUUGGACAAUGGGGGCAACCCUGAUCCAGCCAUG